rnacentral:rRNA from 1 species
AUUGAACGCUGGCGGCAUGCCUAACACAUGCAAGUCGAACGAGUGGCGGACGGGUGAGUAAUGUCUGGGAAACUGCCCGAUGGAGGGGGAUAACUACUGGAAACGGUAGCUAAUACCGCAUACCAUCGGAUGUGCCCCGAUGGGAUUAGCUAGUAGGUGGGGUAACGGCUCACCUAGGCGACGAUCCCUAGCUGGUCUGAGAGGAGGACCAGCCACACUGGAACUGAGACACGGCCCAGACUCCUACGGGAGGCAGCAGUGGGGAAUAUUGCACAAUGGGCGAAAGCCUGAUGCAGCCAUGCCGCGUGUAUGAUGAAGGCCUUCGGGUUGUAAAGUACUUUCAGCGAGGAGGCGUUACUCGCAGAAGAAGCACCGGCUAACUACGUGCCAGCAGCCGCGGUAAUAC